rnacentral:rRNA from 1 species
CCAAUAGCGUAUAUUAAAGUUGUUGCAGUUAAAAAGCUCGUAGUUGAAUUUCGGGAUCAAUGGGUUGGUCAUGCCCUCGGUAUGUACUGAUUUCAUUGGUUCUCACCUUCUAAGGAACCAUGAUGUCAUUUAUUUGAUGUUGUGGGAAAUUAGGACUGUUACCUUGAAAAAAUUAGAGUGUUUAAAGCAGGCUAACGCUUGAAUACAUUAGCAUGGAAUAAUGAAAUAGGACAUCCGAUUCUAUUUUGUUGGUUUCUAGGAUCGAUGUAAUGAUUAAUAGGGAUAGUUGGGGGCAUUAGUAUUCAAUUGUCAGAGGUGAAAUUCUUGGAUUUAUUGAAGACUAACUACUGCGAAAGCAUUUGCCAAGGAUGUUUUCAUUAAUCAAGAACGAAAGUUAGGGGAUCGAAGACGAUCAGAUACCGUCGUAGUCUUAACCAUAAACUAUGCCGACUAGGGAUCGGAUGAUGCUUAUUUUUUAAUGACUCAUUCGGCACCUUAC